UUUUGACACCCAGCCCCUGGCUCUCAAGUGGGUGUGUGCACUGAGCUGCCCUAAGACCGUUUCCCUGGAUAGUCUGGUCUGGAGCUGGGGCAGCAGCAGCUGCUGUGAAGAAGCCAACUGGCAAGAUGAUGGAAGAAAUCUCCAUUAUGGUAGCCUAUGACGCCCAUGUUUUCAGCCAGCUGCAUGAUGAAGACUUCCUCACUAGCCUGGUGGCCACCAGCAAGCCCAGGUCCAUGGUACCAACCAAAAAGCUGAAGAAAUAUGAAAAAGAAUAUCAGGCGAUGCGGGAGAAUCAGCUGCAGCAGGAGGACCCAAUGGAUAGAUACAAGUUUGUAUAUUUAUAGGUAACUCCAGCUGUUGAAUUUAUACUGGGAAUCUUCAUGAGAAGCUGAAAGAAAGGGAAAAAGAAAGUGGCUUUCUGCUUUCAAAAUUGAGGAAAAUAAACCAGAAAAUGCCAAAAGUACUGUUUUAGCAGUGCACGUUCACUUCCACAGAGACUUUUAGGUGGGACUGUUCCAAGACACUCUCGAGGAUAUUGCAAACUUGUCCCUGACUAUAGCACAUGUUAAAAAUACAAAUUUAGAAGAAAAAAUAAAAACCAAAUGGUGUAUCAAGCACAGUAAUGUGAUUUCCACAAACAAAUCAUAGGUAAUAGUGAUAUUUGCAUGCAGUUUGAGAAUCAAAAUUAUCUCAUUCAUAGCUUCAUUAGUUCAGGUCUAUACAUUUAUAUUGCGUAAAUGGUCAUGUCAAGCCCAGAUUGCCAUGUGGCAAUGCGAUGGGAUAGGAGGAUCAUUCAUGUCCAGGAGUUUAAAACCAGGAGCAUAGUGAGACCCCAUCUAAAAACACAACAUAAAACGACGACAAAUGUCUCAUAAAGAAGCUGUACUACAACUGAACUGUAACUGCCUUGCACCCUUUUUCUGUUAAAGCAGGCAUGUAUAAACACUUAUAAACAAUAACAUUAUUUGUAAAGUUUCCACUGAGAUAAAAUUAAACUUUUAAAAAUC
rnacentral:lncRNA from 1 species